rnacentral:rRNA from 1 species
GCUUCUCUGGAUGAGUUGCGAACGGGUGAGUAACGCGUAGGUAACCUGCCUGGUAGCGGGGGAUAACUAUUGGAAACGAUAGCUAAUACCGCAUAACAGUAGAUGUUGCAUGACAUUUGCUUAAAAGGUGCAAUUGCAUCACUACCAGAUGGACCUGCGUUGUAUUAGCUAGUUGGUGGGGUGACGGCUCACCAAGGCGACGAUACAUAGCCGACCUGAGAGGGUGAUCGGACACACUGGGACUGAGACACGGCCCAGACUCCUACGGGAGGCAGCAGUAGGGAAUCUUCGGCAAUGGACGGAAGUCUGACCGAGCAACGCCGCGUGAGUGAAGAAGGUUUUCGGAUCGUAAAGCUCUGUUGUAAGAGAAGAACGAGUGUGAGAGUGGCCAGUUCACACUGUGACGGUAUCUUACCCGAAAGGGACGGCUAACUACGUGCCAGCAGACCGCGGUAAUUACGUAGGUCCCGAGCGUUGUCCGGAUUUACUUGGGCGUAAAGCGAGCGCAGCCGGUUAGAUCAGUCCUGAAGUUAUAAGGCCUGUGGCUUAACCCAUAGUACGCUUUGGAAACUGUUUAACUUGAGUGCCAAGAGGGGAGAGUGGA